UACAAGUAUAAUUAAAGUGAUGAUAACAAUGAAUCUUUUAAACACAAUGAGAACUUAUUUGCCAUAUUAGUAACAAGAUUCUAGGGAUUCCACUGUUUUCAGUUCAGAAAAUGAUGUCCUCUACAUUUAGUUUUUAAACAAACAAGCAAGUUGAAAAAUCAAAAGAAAAUCAUGCAAAGGGUAAUUUUCAUUACAAACUAAUUAAGAUGAGAGUAUAGGCAUGUAGGACCAUACAUCAAAAUAUCUAGCACAGGUGGCAUAUACUAGGCGCUCAAUAAAUGCAUGCUGAAUCUGAUUUGCAACAAUUAAAGUUCCUUUGUACUAAAGUUAGUCCAUGGCGUGAGACAGAGGUAACAGACAAAAGUCAAGACAUAAUAGUAUCCUCUGGGAAGUUAUCUAACCCCACCUGAUGCUUAAAAUUCCCUCCCUCCUGCCUCCCUGAACCCCUUUCUCUUUCUGAAUUGUGGAUUACCAGUUCACAGGCAUUCCCUACAUUCCCCCUUCCCAAAUCGGCAUACCUGCAAUAUAGACCCCAGAGCUGCGCCCAGCUUCCUUUUCAAGGAAUGACUUGAUGUGGGAGUGCAGGUAGUGGACCUCCUCCAGCCUUCAGCUAUUUCAGGCCCUGCCCUGGCUGCAGAGACAUUCUCCACCUGAGGUCACACUCUUGCCUUCAGCUAUUUCAGGCCAUGUCCUGGCUGCAGAGAGACAUUCUCCACCUGAGGUCACACUCUUCCCGGGAUAGCCCACAACCUUGACUGAGGGAGAUGCCCACAGGGAAACCAGGUGGAUGGGCAAUAUUCAAUCUGGCAUUCCCGACCAGCUUGGCCAAGGCCUUUUCAGGCUCGUAUCACAGUCUAAUGCAACCAUGGAGACUGUAUGAAGAUGUUGCUUCCCUACCUGCACCUCUGGCCCGAUUUACACAUAAGCACACUCACAAAGAUAUGUCUACAGGCUGCAUGGCUCUGUUAUUGACUACUGAAUGGUUUCCAGGCUGUCUUUGUCUCAAGGUCAAUCAGACUCAAGUUCCACUUUUUUUUUUCCUCUUGUAGGAAGAUUUCUUUAUUGGUAAGCUGAUUUAAAUUCCUUUGCAGAUAUUGAACCAAAUCUGCUCAGGCUGCAGCCUCCUGGGACCUUUCACUCUGGGCUAAAUAUAAAUAAAUACCCAUAUAGGACAGCUUUUGAUGAAACAUUAAAGAUCACUCUGGUUAUAUGGCUUCUAGAUUUUCUAUUUUCUGUAUGAAAAACCCAUGGCGGUAAAAAGAACCUUCGCCACGGAAAGGAAUAGAUUUGUAAAUUGCUGCCUAUGGACCUCCUGGGACUUAAUGGCACAGGGCAAAGAAGCAGCUGAGCUUGGCAAAGGAAGCAAGAUAAAUAAAAUUAGCCACCAAAUCAGCUCCUUUAAAAAUACCAGCUGUCAACUCCCUCCAGCGUUUAUGAAUUUGGGGGCAUGUUACUGUCACAUUGUGUCUCACCCAGGACCAAGCAGCAUUGCUCUUUUCAACUGGGAAAGGGUCCCUAACUCCCCUCACAGGGAAAGCUAAUGCAAAAAUUUGCCCUUUCUCUUUCACUCUGUCUCCCUUGUCAUGUGUGCAAGGAAGAAACCAAUCCAGGCCAACCAAGAGUUAUUGCUAUAAUGAUUAUACUUGUCAUUGUUUGUUCUUAAACUAUUCACCAAGUAAUCCCUUUAAAGGGUAGGGCUACUGGCU
rnacentral:lncRNA from 1 species